UACAGAGGGGGCAAGCGUUGUUCGGAAUUACUGGGCGUAAAGGCGCGUAGGCGGCCUGCUAAGUCGAACGUGAAAUCCCUGGCUCAACCCAGGAACUGCGUCCGAUACUGGUUGGCUUGAAUCCGGGAGAGGGAUGUGGAAUUCCAGGUGUAGCGGUGAAAUGCGUAGAUAUCUGGAGGAACACCGGUGGCGAAGGCGACAUCCUGGACCGGUAUUGACGCUGAGGCGCGAAAGCCAGGGGAGCAAAGCGGG
rnacentral:rRNA from 1 species